GGGCGGCCGAGGUCCCGGAGCCGAACUCAGGUGGCCGGAGCCGGCACUGGUGUCUGCAGCAGACAGGUGCCAACUGAGAAUGGAAGAGGGGACAAUAUGAACUGCACAGCUCAGCUCAGUGGCAGGGAACCAGUGUGCAGACCCAAGUGAACAAGAGCAGGGCUAGAUGGCCCUCAAGCUGGCACAUUACGGAAAGGAUGAUGCAGAGGUGACAGAUCCCACAACGUCUCGGCUUGGUGACUCGGCCAUGGCAUCUGCAAGCCGUUCCCGGAGGCCCUCCUCUGUGUGCUCCAUGGAGGACAUAUGCCGCAGCCCGAAGCCCUCAGGCCAGCUCCCACACACCUCCAGCAGGGUCACGCUCCGGUCAAAGUUUUUAUAAUCAGGGAAGAAUGGUGAAGAGAGAAUGAGCCUGAGAAAAGCACACAGGCUGGGUCAGGAGGCUGCUAAGCACUGGAGGGAGCCUGGACCUGCUGAGUUGGCUCCCUGGUAGUUCCUGCACAGGGUUUGCCUCAGUGGGAGGCAGGUGAGCUCGCAGCUCCGUGGAUGACUCUUCUCCCAGUGGCCACGGCUGGCUGCACGCAACAUUGACUCACCCUUGUGUACACACAUUAUUUCUCUUUAAAGUGUGUCAGGAAUGUGAACCAACUUGCACUGAAAAAUGGCGAAAACUGUUCUACCUUUGUACAAACUUCAUAUGCCAGCUCAGGAAGCGCCAGCACAACUCUGGAAGGAGUCCAUUUGAGAAGCCCUUUACUUGACUCCCUCCACCCCAACCCUCUGUAUGUCCAGGCACAGCUACCAAGGAAUCAUCCUUCGAUGACCAGCCAGGGACACGAGCCCUUUACGCAUCACUAGAUCACUUAGCAGAGCCCCUGUUGUCUGCCUGUGGGCCUGAGACCAAUCAUCAGUAAAGCUCCAACACAGGCAGUUCCUGUGGCUCUAUAGUCACAGGACAGGAGAGCUCUCCAAACCAGGCAGUUGCUGGCCUUUUCCUGAGUUGGAAGCAAUGAUCUCCGUAGCUAGAUUACAAAGGCACCAUUUCCUCCUGUAUGCUCUGGUCUGCUGCUGAGAUGGCGGGUCAGUGUCCACCAUGCGCUAUGUCACAGGUUCCUAUGUAGCAAGGCUGAGUUCUCUGCUAUGCCGACUUAGGAACCUAGCAACUCCCUGGAUGGAAAACCUACUCAGAACUAUGUAUUCUCAGGACAGCAAGUAUCCAUGCUGGUUUCCCUAGGACGGUUCUCAUAGCAAAGAAUAAGGUCUGGGAUCAGAGGGGUAUCAAAGGAAGAGAACAGACAUUUGCUGAGCCUGUUAUGGGGUAGAUACAGGCAGCUGCUUUAUGUAGACUGUAUCUCAAUCAGAGGAUGCCCACAGCUGAGACUGACCCUAUGACUUCCAAUUUACAAACUGAAGAACGGAGGCAGAGAGAGGUAGAAGGUGACAGCGUGAGGGUAUGGCCAGAAUUCUGACUCCAGGUCCACCCAGAGCCAAAGCCUAUACUUUGACCUUUGAUUGGAUUCCGUUUGGGUGAGACCAGAGCAUACUCACAAAAAAUACAGUUUGCCGUGACAUAUAGCUGCAGUGCCAGCAAGCGGCUUGAUGUCCUCUUUUGGCAGCAAGCAUUUCCCACUGAACGCACCACCCUUAGAGUUUUCAAACUGCUCCAGAGUUUGAAAGUGGUUCUUGCAGUUAGGCAGUGGAUGAUUUCUGUUCCCUACAGCAAAGCUGAUGUGAAGUGCUCAGCUGGGAACUCUGAGGUAAAACCUGGAGCUGAGAAGUCUUCUGCUUGCAAACUCAAGGAUGAUGUUUUAAAACCAUCAGCAUCAGUGGGGAAAGAUGGCCCAGCGGGUUAAGGUGCUUGCUGUCAAGUCUGAUAAACUGAACUCAAUGCCCACAUGGUAGAAGGAAAGAACCCACUUCUAUUAAUUGGUCUCUGACCUCUACAUAAGCAUUCUAUGGCACUCCCCCAACUCCCAAAUAAAAUGUUAAAAA
ensembl:processed_transcript 2610027K06Rik RIKEN cDNA 2610027K06 gene